rnacentral:tRNA from 14 species
UUGAAGUACGGUCGCGGCACAGCAUACACAGAAAAAUCAAAAAACCGUUGAAUUGUUUUCGUUCCUUCGUUCUCGCGUUGCGCUCUGUUCGUUUUAUUGUUAAAAUUAAAAUAAAAAACAAAAAAUACUAUAUUUCUUUAUUUAUUUCGAUGUCCAGUAGUGGUGGUUGCUGCUACUCAAUAUUCAAAAAGAAAAAAUUGUUAUUGUCACCGUGUAUAAAACAAGUGCAGACCCUGGAGAAAGUUUAAUUUACUCGUCUCUCGCAAACUCAUACAAACAAUUUAGUAAGAUGAAAUUUCUCUCCUUUCCCUAACGAUAUCGACCAAUCUUCUAUUUAAGUAAAUUUUCUGUGUCCCCAAACAAACAAAAGAAAAAAAAGAGAAGUGAUAACAAAUAUAAAUAAAAAAAACAACAAAACCAAUCUAAACUUGCGAGGUCACACCAAAAAAGAAAAACAAAAAAUUGUCUUAAAUGUUUGUGAAUAUUAAACUAAUUUUCUUAAAUAAACAAAAGAGUAAAAUAAACGGUAAUAAUAGUGUUUAUGCCAUGCAGCAACGAAAAAAAUGAAACAAAUAAAAAUUCAAAUUUCUUAUCACUACUGCUGCUAGUGCCUGCUGCUGCUAAAGAAGAAGCGAGAGUUUAUUAAAACAAGAACAGCUAAGACAAGGGCUUUCUUCACUGUGGAUUUGGUGUCAUUUUGAAUUCUCUUCUAAAGUGUGAUAUUCGCAUUGAAGUUUCUAUGGUUGGUGUCGAUCGACAAUACGUCUAUUCAAAAACUCUCGAAACGUCUUCCCAACAAACAAAAAGAAAACUCAAAACUCCUUUAAGGGAAAUUUUCGAAAAAUAUUAAAAACUAACAGGAAUUAAUUUCCCUCACCUCUGGUUGAAGUGCAUUUUUUUCUGAGUGUCUCAACUUUAAAGAACUCGCCGUAGAGCCUUUGAAUACUUCCCCCACCAAUUGUUGGUCAAUUACAAAUGAUUACAACUAAAACACCCAAAACCUUGCAGAACCUACAGCGAAACUUCCAUAGAGCCACAAACAGUUUGCGCUUGAUCAGCCAUAAGGAGUUUACUUUAAAGCGGGAAAUUUACAAAUUCAAACGUUUAAAUCACGAACCGACAUUUCUGCAGCAUCUUAUUUGGGAGCAGCAACAACAGAAAUUGUUGCAGCUUAGCGAGGGGAUUUGUGGCAGCAGCGUUUGCAGUAUCCGAAAAAGGCGCAGGAGGAGGUGUGCCAGUAUCUUGGCUAUUGUAGGCCACAAUAAGUGAAAUUCUGCCCCGGGAGAAAAAGCAAGAAAGCUAAGCACCUAGUUUUGAUCCUCAAACACUCUGCAGGGCAAGCAUAACUGGGCCAGUACAGCAACGCCAAGUGUAGCCCACCAUCUAUUGUGGAUAGAGUUUCUCUGGUUCUGUUUGAGGUUGAAUUUGAGAGCUAACCACCGCCUGAAUAGCGGAAAGUUUGCCUGGGCCAAGCAAAAGUGACAUUGCAGCAACAUUUGAGCAACGCAUUUGGGAGAAGAGUUUCAAGCACAAGAAAAACAACCGGUUAUCGUUGGCACCGAAUAGCAAAGCAACUCUUUUGCGCAGUUGAAAUUGAAACUAAAACGCCAAGCAACACCCUCAACCAAAGCACCGUUAAGGCUGGGACACCCCUCUCUCACACACUCACACACUCACUCACUCACUCUUCGCUUUCGGAGUAACAACAAGAAGACCUUUAAGAAAAUCUUUGUUUGUUUUUUUCUUUCUGUGCUGUGAGAAAGCAGCAACUGCCAGUGUUUCAGCAACAUUUUCCCUCCUACAAAACAAAUCCCCCCGCACUCACCCAUAACGCUGCUGUAAUCAUCACUGAAACUGUGCUGCACAUUUUGUUAAGUGCUUGUUUGCCUCCUCUUUGGCUUUACCUUUUUCAGGCCGCGCUUUUACAAGCCAAUUUUGUUGAGAGCUGCUGUGAGCAAACGUGUUUUCUGACCACAUUUCCUUUGGCGCAUUCGAAGCCUUAAACCGUUGUGGUCGUUGUUCAUCUGUUGAUCGGUCGGUCGGUCGGUCGGUCAUUCGGUUAUCGUAGUGUGUUUGUUUUUUUUUCCUCACUGUGCAUAGCUGUCUUCAUUGCACUGUCAUCGUUCUGGUUGCUGUUUGCCGCUGCAGUUUUGUAUUGUGUUGUUUUUGUAUUGAAAACUGGAUUUUCCAUCAGAUGUACUCGAUGGUUGAUUGUUAUGCAGAUAUGGGACAAAUCGGUCAAGAUGUAAGUAAAUAUGUUUUAUUUU